AGGGAAUCUUCCGCAAUGGACGAAAGUCUGACGGAGCAACGCCGCGUGAGUGAUGAAGGUUUUCGGAUCGUAAAGCUCUGUUGCCAGGGAAGAACGUCCGUUAGAGUAACUGCUAACGGAGUGACGGUACCUGAGAAGAAAGCCCCGGCUAACUACGUGCCAGCAGCCGCGGUAAUACGUAGGGGGCGAGCGUUGUCCGGAAUUAUUGGGCGUAAAGCGCGCGCAGGCGGCUGUUGAAGUCUGGUGUUUAAUCCGUGGGCUCAACCCCGGGGCGCACUGGAAACUGGACAGCUUGAGUGCAGAAGAGGAGAGUGGAAUUCCACGUGUAGCGGUGAAAUGCGUAGAGAUGUGGAGGAACACCAGUGGCGAAGGCGACUCUCUGGGCUGUAACUGACGCUGAGGCGCGAAAGCGUGGGGAGCAAAC
rnacentral:rRNA from 1 species